CGCGAGAGUAAGCUAAUCUCUUAAAGCCAUUCUCAGUUCGGAUUGUAGGCUGCAACUAGCCUACACGAAGUCGGAAUCGCUAGUAAUCGCGGAUCAGCAUGCCGCGGUGAAUACGUUCCCGGCCCUUGUACACACCACCCGUCACACCAUGAGAGUUUGUAACACCCAAAGUCGGUGGGGUAACCUUUAGGAACCAGCCGCCUAAGGUGGGACAGAUGAUUAGGGCGAAGUCGUAACAAGGUAACCA
rnacentral:rRNA from 1 species